rnacentral:rRNA from 1 species
UACGGAGGGUGCAAGCGUUAUCCGGAUUCACUGGGUUUAAAGGGUGCGUAGGUGGGUCUGUAAGUCCGUGGUGAAAUCUCCAAGCUUAACUUGGAAACUGCCGUGGAUACUAUCUAUCUUGAAUGUCGUGGAGGUUAGCAGAAUAUGUCAUGUAGCGGUGAAAUGCUUAGAUAUGACAUAGAAUACCCAUUGCGAAGGCAGCUAACUACGCGAUAAUUGACGCUGAUGCACGAAAGCGUGGGGAUCAAACAGG